GGAUGCGAUCAUACCAGCACUAAAGCAGCGGAUCCCAUCAGAACUCCGAAGUUAAGCGUGCUUGGGCGAGAGUAGUACUAGGAUGGGUGACCUCUUGGGAAGUCCUCGUGUUGCAUUCC
rnacentral:rRNA from 1 species